rnacentral:misc_RNA from 1 species
UCUCCGUAGGUGAACCUGCGGAGGGAUCAUUACAGAGUUCAUGCCCUACCGGGUAGAUCUCCCACCCUAUGUUAUUAUUACUUUGUUGCUUUGGCGGGCCGUUAGGCUCCGGCCCGAUUACCGGCCCCGGCUGGUAAGCGCCCGCCAGAGGACCCAAAACCCUGAAUAUUAGUGUCGUCUGAGUACUAUAUAAUAGUUAAAACUUUCAACAACAGAUCUCUUGGUUCUG